UUAAGCAUAUCAAUAAGCGGAGGAAAAGAAACCAACAGGGAUUACCUCAGUAACGGCGAGUGAAGCGGUAAAAGCUCAAAUUUGAAAUCUGGCUCUUUUAGAGUCCGAAUUGUAAUUUGUAGAAGAUGCUUCGGGUGUGGUUCCGGUCUAAGUUCCUUGGAACAGGACGUCAUAGAGGGUGAGAAUCCCGUAUGUGACUGGAUACCUAUGCUCAUGUGAAGCUCUUUCGACGAGUCGAGUUGUUUGGGAAUGCAGCUCAAAAUGGGAGGUAUAUUUCUUCUAAAGCUAAAUAUUGGCCAGAGACCGAUAGCGCACAAGUAGAGUGAUCGAAAGAUGAAAAGCACUUUGGAAAGAGAGUUAAACAGUACGUGAAAUUGUUGAAAGGGAAGCGCUUGCAAUCAGACUUGCACUUGGUGUUCAUCAGGGUCUCGUACCCUGUGUACUUCAUCAAGUUCAGGCCAGCAUCAGUUUGAGUGGUUAGAUAAAGGCUUAGAGAAUGUGGCCCUCUUCGGGGGGUGUUAUAGCUCUAGGUGCAAUGUAGCCUACUUGGACUGAGGACCGCGCUUCGGCUAGGAUGCUGGCGUAAUGGUUGUAAGCGACCCGUCUUGAAACACGGACCAAGGAGUGUACCUAAUAUGCGAGUGUUUGGGUGUUAAACCCAUACGCGUAAUGAAAGUGAACGCUGGUGAGAACCCUUAAGGGUGCAUCAUCGACCGAUCUUGAUGUCUUCGGAUGGAUUUGAGUAAGAGCAUAUUGGGUGCGACCCGAAAGAUGGUGAUCUAUACGUGAAUAGGGUGAAGCCAGAGGAAACUCUGGUGGAGGCUCGCAGCGGUUCUGACGUGCAAAUCGAUCGUCAAAUUUGCGUAUAGGGCGAAAGACUAAUCGA
rnacentral:rRNA from 1 species